UAUAAAGUUUUGAAAAAUAUUCUAUGAUAAGGAAGACUAGUGAUUUCAGAAAAAUUCAAACUAAAUGUAAAAAAUAUGCCAGGCAUUUAAGUUUCAAGAUGCAAGUUAAAUGCAAAAAGGGUGGUAUGCCAAGAAUUUUAAGUUUAAUCCUGAGAUAGGUAAAAACUGUUCGAAGUAGGUUUGCUGUGAUAUUAACUAUUUUAGAGACCAAAGUCAACCAUAUAUCAUAUGGUUCAAGUACACAUAAUCCAUUCAGCAAGGAUUCAGCAAGGACUCACUCUAGUCUUUGAACUGAAAAAUGUUCAUUCUACUUGGAGUCUUUUUUUUUUUUUAGGAUGUUUUUAUUUAGGCAAUAUACUACACUUGAAAAAUAUAAGGUUUAGAGGCAAUCUUGUGUUUAAACCCCAAGUCUGCCACUUAACCAGUUGUGAACACAGGGGCAAUAAGACAUGUGAGUGGGAUCACUGUGAGAAUUACAUCUGGUGGCAUAUUUAAGGCUGCUAAUAUGCUUCCCAGCACUUGGUAGAUAUUCAAUAAAUAUAUUUGUUGCUGUUGUGAUCACCCGUAUAUUUAUGUUGAAAGUAAGACCUACAAACAAGGUAAGGAAAAAGGUUCUAGAGUGAAAAUCUGAAUAGAAGGCUGGCAUCAUCACUCACCAGCAGUUCAGACAGCUGUGUGGGCGUGGUGGCACCCAUCCCGCCACCCAUUCUUCUUCUGGAGGGCCCAGCGGUGUAGGGCAUGGUGGUGUCAGUGGCUGCCCCAUGCUCGGCCAGGGUAGAUUUUAACAACAUGGGCCUUGCAUUGGAGAGAGCCACAAUAGGGCCCCAGUCAUUAUGGUUUUGUUGUUUUUCUACCUUAACUGUACAUUGAUGUAGGUUCUUUUCUAAAAUAGGGGUCAGGAGACCCAAAAGGAUUGACAGAUAACUCCUUUUAAUCCACAUGGUCAUGGCCUGCUUGGUGCAUCAAUGGAUCUGCCUGCUGCUCAAGGCGGCACCUCCUGCUGCUCUGAGGGCCACCCAGUUUGGUGUGGGCGGUGACACUGGCACAUCAGCAUGUGACUCGUAGUCCGUACCUUCCAUUACCUACCACCUAGGCAGAACCCAACCAUGAAACAGAGUUAGAUAUUCUUUUACUAAAAAUAAACAAUUUAAGCCUCUGUAUCUCUUUACAACCUUUGAAGGUAGUUCGUCUUCUUUCUCCCAGUCCUUUCUCUCGAAUUAGGAUACUUUUAGCUUUAGAAGUAGCAGAAAAACUCAAAUUAAAAUGGCCUUAACUGUUACACAUUGUCACACAUGACCUAAAACACUAGGCUCUACUGUUGGCUGAUCCAUAGUUGCCCAGGACCCAGGCUGUGUCCUCUCUGCUGUCCAUAGUAUAAGCUUCAUCCCCAGGCUGGCCCCUGAAGAUGCCUGUAGGUCAACUGCCAAUAGCAGUGAAGGCCACAUUCCUUCCCACCUAGAGAAAUAGAGAUGAUGUCCAGUGGCUUUUCCAGAAUUCCCUGACAGACCUCUCCUAUCUCAUUGGCUUAUGUUGAGUCAUAUACCAUUUCUGUCCUUCUGCUGGUCAAAUGAGUGGAAUUGCUCUGAUAAUCUUACACUAGAGCUGUGGUCUGCUUCCCUGAGGUACAAAGAUACCCAAACUACUGGGGUUCUCUUAGGAAGGGAGAAGGCAGGAAAUCACUCAGGCCAUUACAACAAAGCCAUCACAGAAUACUUCCUGGAGGAGGGGAUGUUUGUGCUGAGUUUUGAAAAAUAAGUAAAGUUAGAAGGUAAGGAAGAAAUUUUAAGUAGAUGGAAAGAACAUGUACAGAAAGUUCAGAUGCCUGAAACAACAUGGCCUUUUGGAGGGAACCAUAAGUACAUGACUAUAGAGAAUGACAAUAAUGAGAUAUGAGCCUGAGGAAGAGGCCUUUUUAUGUCACAGCCAAGCUUCAGUGCCACUCCAAAUUAUAGAAUACGCAGACUAGAUAUGGGGAAGAUUCUGCGUUAAGACUAAGAUUGGGAAAAUGGAGAGGAAAUGAUCUUUAGAGAAAUACUUCAGAGGCAGGGUUGCAGGACUUCCUGGCCAGUGGGCUAGAAGGGAAUGAAGAGAAAGGAGCCAAGUGAUGGACCUGACAAGUCCCCGGUCCUUUAGCCUCUGCAGUUACCUGUGUUAGCAUCAUUUCUGAUAGUGUCUCUUUGCCCACAUGCACCUGCACACACAGACACAGAAAUUUCUACCCCAGUGACAUUGCAGAAGUAGGUACACGCUUGCAAAAUAUUAAUUUUUAUUUGUUCUUUUCCCCCAUUAUAAUAUUAAUGGCUUUCCCCUUCCCAGUUUUUAGAAAACUUAUAACAGAAUGAUUUCAUUAGUUUGAGGAUACUGGGAAAAAAAAAAAAAGACUCUUUAAGAAAGAUUUGGUGAUUUCUGAUUAGCUGAUUUUUAGAGAAAAUUGGUCAUUUCAACCCUCAGUAUUUGGCUACUAUCUACUUGUGAAUUUGCUGGGCUACAUGUAAAUUUCAUUUUGUAAUUAGAGCUUGGGAGAAAACAUACUAUUUUCUAGUAUCAUGUUUCUUACAGAUGAUUGAAAUAUGCUUAGUCAACCUCCUCUCUAAAUAAAGUUCACCUUUGAACUAAAGACCAAACUGGAAACAAGGAAUGCCUUGAAAUAUCUGGGGAUGUUCUGAAAGCAAGGGAUUAUAGAGAAGGCGUCCAUUUUAUUUUUAGCACUUCCAGCCCUUUGGCACUCCCUAAAGAUAAAUGCCCAAGACUUAUCGGCCAUACUCUUUUACUGCUUAGGAGCUUUUUACAUUGCUAAAGCAUUAGUUAACAAAACCUGAAAACAAAUUCUAGAGAAUUUAAAAUGUAUAGCUUGUUCAGUCUCUUGAUACCUAAAUUCUGUAUACUCUUGGUCCAUGUGUCAACAUCGGGGAAACAUGAAGAAAGCUUGACUCAUAAAUUUCAGUCUGUGCUAUUUAUUUUUAAUGUGUAUUAUGCAUACAGUGGACCUUGAUUAUGCAGUAGUACACCCACACAAAGUAAAUGGCUGCCAAAUCCAGUAAGCACCAAACUGCCACUGAGGCAUUUUACCCAACCCAAAUGCCGUUUACUGAGACGACAGUGGAGACCACACAUUACGGCUAUUCUACAGACCUUUUAAAAGUCCAGCCUGUUCACUUGGCCUGUUUUGGCUUCCUACAGAAAACAGGCUUCUGGAUCAGCUGGACACCAGAGCCCAGACUCUCUACUCCGUGUUCUACUUGGAAGUGCAGCUGACCCAGACUUUGGUUUCUUAAAGUAGCCAAAAACUAGCAUCUGGCCCUAAUUUAGACUCAGCUUAUGGGCUCCCCACUAGCAGCAGCAGCAAAUACUUCUCUCACUCUCUUUCCUCUCUUGCUUGGACAGGACACCAGGUUGGGGAGAGGACAUCAGUAAUACAUGCUUCUAUUUUUCUCCCUGAACUCUCACUUCCAGGAAGCUUCUUCUUUCUACUUGUGCAAAUCUAUUUGGCAUUUCUCGUUGUCACCUUUGCCUUGGCAAAGCUGUUGUUGUGACUGCCGUCUUUAGUUAAUACCCAUUCCAAACCAGUUAUUGAGAAUCCGCUAUUGAGAACCCGCCAGGCACAACACAUGUGUUCUGGAAGUGUGUGUAAGGCAAGUGGAACAUGUGAGCCGUGUUGUCAUUCCUGAGGUGAUGGCCUAGCUGCUUCUUCCAGGUGUGAGGUCUUGAAAUGUCUGCAUGGAGCAACAUCUGUUUUAUCUUUGAACAUUUGCUAUUGCCUAAUGAGGGCUUUUUAUUUCCCAAUCUUUUGGAUUAAAAUAUGUUCCUAAAAUUUGAACAUCUGAAGAGCACUUGUUUUGUAUAUUAGAUGCUGUGGGGGCCUUAAAUGAAGGGAGGAAAAAUGCAGUCCUCCUCAUGGGUGCUUCCCGCUAGGUGUCUGCUGCCUCACAAACUUGGGAGGAGUUUAAAAAAUAAUACUUCCCAAAGCAUGAAGUAAAUCAAAGUAAAGUUGAUUUCAAACAAGCAAAUGAACGAAAAUGGUUCCCAAAGUAUUCCUCUCAUGACUGUGAGUUAAAGAGGCAACUGAUUCCAAAGGCUCAGGGUUCACGAGAGCCAAAACAUGGGCCCAUGGCCACUCAGCCCUGCCGCCGCCUCAUCGCAUUGUCAGCGUGACUGGCAGCCCACGCUGCGCCUUCCACAGGUAGCUUCUAGUGACAAGUGCUUUUGGCUCUUUCUGACAGAGCUCAUUGUGGAACAACAAGGUUUUAUUUCCAGUUUCUGGGAGAGAAUUACAGCAUCAGUUGGAAUAGUACAUGUGACUUGGAAUUGACUAGAGAGGUCAAAAUGAUGGAUCUGAGAUAUACUUGAAGGGAUAAUUGUACACAACCAGUUUAAAAGCUGGUAAAUAUUUAAGGGUCAGAGGUUAAAUGUCAAAGCCACAGAGCUUGGGCUCGGCUCCAUAAAGUAUUAAGAAUGACUGCUAAUUAAAUCCAGGGUAUAUUUCACCAAAGGGAAAUAAAUUUGACAGCUAACAACCAAUACUGGAUUACCACCUUACAGAGGUUAGGGAUCAUGCUAGUAAUUGUAGAUGGUUUACAGUUUUUAACCCAAUAGUAAUCUGGAGGAUGAUUGCUUACAGUUACGGAUUACCACACUAAACAAAGUUAAGUCUUAUGAGUCAAAAAAAGUAUUACCAAAAGGCCUAUAGAUCUUGGUCCCCUGUCUUACUUUUUGUUUAAAACUAAAUGCCCUGUGGCGGCUUCAGAGCAAAUCCCUAAAACAAAUGCAGUCAAAAGACACGCUCACUUUUUUUUUUCUUUUUCUGAGUUGAAAUUUUUUCUGUGAUUAGUAAUUGCCAGCCAGUAUAAUAGCCAGCUAUGAAAUUAGCAAAUUUGAUUUCCAAACCAGUACAGCAAAUUGAAAGCCGAGAAAUGUCAGCCAAAGGUAUAAUGGUCCCUUUCCUGGUCACACACUUGUUGUUAUACUUAGAUGAUAAGAUAUGUUACUUAAAUUCAGCAUUCUUAGAUGGGCAUAUAAUUUGGACGCUACUUUAGAUGCCCCACCUCUGGAAAAAGCUGUUUACCUUAAGAUGAGCUAUACCUUAUGAGUACUAAGCAAACAGAGUAAUUGUAAUAUUUUAAUAGCUAUGUUUACAUGCAGAUCUUGAGAUUAUUUCUGCAUUAGGUGAUUUAUAGGGCUAUAUUAAGUAAAUCACACUUGGAAUGCUGCUCCAAAGGAUGAGUCACAAAAUACUGCCAUUUCCCCUCUCUCCUUUCAAAAGAGAGCUCCCAGGGAAAGAGACAGAGAAAGAAUUCCUCCACGCCCCGUACUGGGCUUAAAGCUAAUCAAGAAAUUAUCCCAUUUAAGUUAGGAUUUCAGCUAUUUAACAUAUUGACGUCCAUUGAUACGUCUGUUUAAAGUGGAAUUAUCUAAUGCAAAAUUUCACAGAAAUAAGUUGAUGAUUUAGAAAAAAAAUAGCCAAAGCCAUUACGGAAAACCUUGUCAUUCCUUAUACUGCACCUUUUGCAGGCUGAACUAAUUAUUCCCUAAUCUUUAACUUGAGGUAUUGGUUAAAUCAAUUAAGUCGUUAGGUGUAAUUUCAAUAAUGCUAGUGUUUGCGAGAACUACAUAGCAAACACGAUUUGCCUUAAUUAGACUUUUAAAUUCAGAGCCCUGUCUAAGUCUGGAGCCAAGUCCUCUAUUUUGAAUCUCUCUAUAUUCACUUAGUUGUAAGGGGAAAUUUUUUAAUAUGUCUGGCUCUAAGUAAUUAGUUUGCAAAUUUGUAAUGUGAGAUGUUGUAGGAGCUGAGUUUGGGAAGGAAAGCAGAGCCUCCUCCCUUUUCAUUUUAUUAGCUUUUCCUGUAUCUGGAGACUUCCUGCAAGGAUGGAACAUUCCUUUAAGUUCAGCUUGUGGGAGGUUUGUACCAAUAGCAUAAAAUGCCUCCAGACAGGUACCUGCUACUGACCUUCUUGUGUACCUUUUGCCCUUUAAGAAAAAAAAAAGCAGUGCUUUUCUUUGUCAAGCCUCUCAGAGCCACAGUGGGCAGCUGAGCCAUAUGGGAGCGCCUGAGUUGUGUCUGUGCAGUCCUCUUGUCUCCUCCUCCCUGGGAGGCCUGGGUCUCCAGCGGCUGCCCUCCAUGAGCCUCUUCCUCCCCGAGCCAUAGAUGCUGAGCUGGAGAUCCUGUCCAGACCUGUGGGAAAGUGCACAGAACACCAGCUAUUCAAAUUGUUCCUUUCCCACUCACUAGGAAAGGGACUCCAGACAGGAAGGUUUCAUUAGCCUAAAAGAACAUCACUCCUUCGUUUUAACUCUUUGGGUCCUAAGGCAGUAAAUCCGUUGAGGGCAGUGUUCACAUUGUAGAUGUUGAAGUUCUUUCUUGAGAGAAUUAUAAUUGCUUUGCUCCCACAGAGAUUUUUUUCUGGUCAUUUCCUUUACCAGACAGGAGUUAAUCAUAAUGCAUUCCUGCCCAUAGAAAAGUUCAGACUUUGAUAGUGGGGUCUGUCACACUGGUCAUCACUGUGAGCAAGGCCCUUUUAGCAGUGUGUAUGCAAGUAGCAGAUUGGGAAUCUAAAAUUCUAAUUGUAUAAGGGUUUAAAUCUUCAGUAAAGUGUAAUUUGUUUAGGAUUUUCCCAUUCUUCAGAGGUUGCAUUUGUCUAAUUUUAUGGUAACUUACUAUAGUUUUGAAGCAAUGACUGCAUCCCCUGCAGUGGAGAAAAACUCUCUUUCUCUCUCUCUCUGAGCCCUCCGCCCUCUCCUUGCCGUUUUGUAAGUGCAGAAACAUCACCACAAUAAUGACAUACAAUUAUAGUAAACAUUGAACAAUCUGUGCUUUCUCGGGUUUAUCUUAUCAUCUAAACAUGUGGUGAGCCCGAAUAGGUUAAGUGUCUUUUCCCUAAGGUGCAAUAUUUCUACAGUUUUGCAUGCAAUUUAAAUUUUAUUUUUAAAGCCUUAUAAUCACACAUUUGAACAUUCUGAAGAUUAAACCUUGUAUGAACAUAAUUGCAAGAGUUAGCGGAAAUUGAACAAAUGAAAUAUAAAGACUUCCACUUCCUGUAUAUGAAUUUUUAGCCUUUUCCCAAACUUUCUCUAUUGUAAACUUAAAACAAAGUCUUAUCAGCAAGUAACAUAGAGUAGCAGCUGGAUAUCAUUAAAUCCCUCUGUCUAAGCUAUUCUUCUUCAUUACCUUUUUCCUGACAAGCUCUUGCUCUGCACAGAAAAUGUAACUUUGUGAUAGAGAUUUAUGUAAUUCAGGUGUCCUCUAUUCUGAGUGAGAGCUUGGCUGCAGAAGAAAAGGAUUUGCAAAAAUCCAUAGAAUUUUUUAAAAAGAAAGGGAGAUGCUGACAGAAUUCUGUGAGGAAACACAUGUUAACAUAACCAGUUCAUCAACCACUUUACCCACUCUCUCUUUUAUAGGCUAUUUGCAUAAUAAGAAUAUUUUUCUGCAAACUGGAAUAGCUAGCUUUUAUUCUACUAAUGCAAGAUCAUUAGCUACUUCAUCUUAAAAUACACAGCAGUGUUCUCCAAAUGCUUUCAGAUUCAGUGAAACAUUAAAAUGUCUUUACUUAGCAAUGUAAUAGAAAAUACUGUCAGACAUCUAACCAUAAACACAAAUUAGAGCAAGCAAGCUGAUGCCUUUCUGAGUUUAGUGAAAUGGUGUAACAGUUAUUAAGUUGGUGGUGAUGUGGUAACAUACACACACCAAUUUGUGAGCAUUUAUUUUGGUCUCUACUAGCUUUCGUAUGUCAAAAUCUGAGUUUAUGUUUAAGUGGUUUUCUUUAAUGAUACAACAGAACCACUGGGAACAGAGACUUGUAUUCCUAGAGAUGAUAAGACACUAGGGAAUCAAAAAAUAAAUUAAAAAAAAUUGAUAAGA